GAGAACCUGAUCUUGUUCUUGCCCAAAUUCAAAGCCACCAAGAGGGGUGAAGUCAUGGGGUGGGAGGAAGAAAGCCCCCACUUCUUCUCUCGUGAGGAGCAGGAGGGUGCUGGGCUGAGCACAGAUUAUCAGGAAGAGAAAAAUAACCCUGUGGUCAGACUCCCUUGCUGCUGGCUGCCCACGGAUGCUGGGGGCAGCCACCCCGGGGCAGGGGUCGCUGAGGACGCCGUGAUGGAUGGCCCUUCUCUUUGUCUACACAGCGCUCAUCAGCGUCAUGAGUGCCAGGCAGUGCCGAGCACCAGGGAAGCCAGGAAACAGAGAUCCAUCCUCGCCCUCGCAAGGUUUGCCUUCUGCAGGGGUGUUGGACGCUGGGAGGAGGUGGCUACUUUGGAGGCUGGCAGACAAGACUGGGAUCCUGCUUCUGAUUCUUCAGAGUUCAGAAAACAUCCUGAGUUUUCCCUGAGGGAGCAAUAAUUCUUCACUGUUUCUUUCAUGGAAUCUCCUGGAUGCCUUUGUCAUCUCUCUGAGGAUGUUCUUGCUGCAGAAACUGAAGAAAAGCCUUAUCUCAGAGAGAUUCAUCACUGUUGUGUGUAUCUAAUAGCUUGAUCUAGUGAGCAAGACUUUAACCACUGAACAAGUCGUGUUCUUCAACAUCUCCACUGCGCCAUCCGUGGACACUGGCUUGAUCCCACCCUUCUGACUUCAAGCCAAGCUGUAGCACACACUCUUGUGUCUGCUUCCAUACACAUGUGUACAAGAGGAUUUUUGGGGUUUUGCUCAGAUGGGGCAGCCCCGCCAUCACAACGCUCACCACCGCGGUCAGCACAGCGUCAGCUCCAGCAUAGCCAUGGCACACACAGCCCCACCCCCAUCGCCAGACCACCGCCGACUCUGUGACCACAGUCCCCAGGGCGAGUAUGGUCGCUACAGUCACAACCACUGACUCUGAUGAUCACCGUCACCGCCUCCACCCCCGAGACCCACCUCCCCCCACCACUGCCAUCACACCGUCAUGCCGGUGACCGCCGGUGCCGUCACGAUCACCACCGUCGCCCCCAUCCUCAUUUACAUCACCACCAUGAUCACCGUGACUACUCCCACCCCGGAGACCCACCUCCCCCCACCACUGCCAUCACACCAUCAUGCUGGUGACCGCCGGUGCCGUCAGGAUCACCACCAUCGCCCCCAUCCUCAUUUACAUCACCACCAUGAUCACCGUGACUACUCCCACCCCGGAGACCCACCUCCCCCCACCACUGCCAUCACACCGUCAUGCCGGUGACCGCCGGUGCCGUCACGAUCACCACCAUUGCCCCCAUCCUCAUUUACAUCACCACCAUGAUCACCGUGACUACUGCCACCCCCGAGACCCACCUCCCCCCACCAUUGCCCUCACACCGUCAUGCUGGUGACCGCCGGUGCCGUCACGAUCACCACCGUCGCCCCCAUCCUCAUUUACAUCACCACCAUGAUCACCGUGACUGCUCCCACCCCGGAGACCCACCUCCCCCCACCACUGCCAUCACACCAUCAUGCCGGUGACCGCCGGUGCUGUCAGGAUCACCACCAUCGCCCCCAUCCUCAUUUACAUCACCACCAUGAUCACCGUGACUGCUCCCACCCCCGAGACCCACCUCCCCCCACCACUGCCAUCACACCAUCAUGCCGGUGACCGCCGGUGCCGUCAGGAUCACCACCAUCGCCCCCAUCCUCAUUUACAUCACCACCAUGAUCACCGUGACUACUCCCACCCCCGAGACCCACCUCCUCCCACCACUGCCAUCACACCGUCAUGCCGGUGACCGCCGGUGCCGUCACGAUCACCACCGUCGCCCCCAUCCUCAUUUACAUCACCACCAUGAUCACCGUGACUACUCCCACCCCGGAGACCCACCUCCCCCCACCACUGCCAUCACACCAUCAUGCCGGUGACCGCCGGUGCUGUCAGGAUCACCACCAUCGCCCCCAUCCUCAUUUACAUCACCACCAUGAUCACCGUGACUACUCCCACCCCCGAGACCCACCUCCCCCCACCACUGCCAUCACACCGUCAUGCUGGUGACCGCCGGUGCCGUCAGGAUCACCACCAUUGCCCCCAUCCUCAUUUACAUCACCACCAUGAUCACCGUGACUACUGCCACCCCCGAGACCCACCUCCCCCCACCAUUGCCCUCACACCGUCAUGCUGGUGACCGCCGGUGCCGUCACGAUCACCACCGUCGCCCCCAUCCUCAUUUACAUCACCACCAUGAUCACCGUGACUACUCCCACCCCGGAGACCCACCUCCCCCCACCACUGCCAUCACACCGUCAUGCCGGUGACCGCCGGUGCCGUCACGAUCACCACCGUCGCCCCUGUCCUCAUUUACAUCACCACCAUGAUCACCGUGACUGCUCCCACCCCCGAGACCCACCUCCCCCCACCACUGCCAUCACACCGUCAUGCCGGUGACCGCCGGUGCCGUCACGAUCACCACCGUCGCCCCCAUCCUCAUUUACAUCACCACCAUGAUCACCGUGACUGCUCCCACCCCGGAGACCCACCUCCCCCCACCACUGCCAUCACACCGUCAUGCCGGUGACCGCCGGUGCCGUCACGAUCACCACCGUCGCCCCCAUCCUCAUUUACAUCACCACCAUGAUCACCGUGACUACUGCCACCCCCGAGACCCACCUCCCCCCACCACUGCCAUCACACCGUCAUGCCGGUGACCGCCGGUGCCGUCACGAUCACCACCGUCGCCCCCAUCCUCAUUUACAUCACCACCAUGAUCACCGUGACUACUCCCACCCCCGAGACCCACCUCCCCCCACCAUUGCCCUCACACCGUCAUGCCGGUGACUGCCGGUGCCGUCACGAUCACCACCGUCGCCCCCAUCCACAUUUACAUCACCACCACUACCAUUUCACACCACACACCGUCGUCACCAACACUGCCAGUGCCAACACCUCCAUCACCACCCACACCCUCACCCCACAUAUGGGCAAGACUUCGCUGCAGAGGUCUCCAAGUCACGUUUGGGAAACCCUCAGACUCUGAUGAACCCCUGAGGGGUGGACUGAAAGUGGAGACAUAAGCCACUAAGCAGACACGGGUCCAGGCUCACCGUCUUCCACUCAAGCUUCAGUCUGGGAUACCCCCGUUAUCUGCUUUUCUUACUGGAGUUCCUCAUCAAAUGCCACCAAGGUUCUCAGAUCUUAAAACCCAUUUAAGCCAUGGCAUGCAUAGUGCUUUAUCCCACUAAGGAAUUUUUUCCAAGAAGUGUUUAGGAAAAUGCAAAUGAAAAUGCCCAAGGCGGGCACACACGCAAAGGAGAAACACUGUGUGUUUUUAUCCCAGAGAAUGGGGUCGCCAUGGGUGGUGCUGAGGAGAGAGGCCUGGAUCCCACACUCGUGGGCUUGUAUCAUGGAAGACAGCUGGAAGGAAGUAGAG